GACUUGGAGGUUGUGCCCUUGAGGCGUGGCUUCCGGAGCUAACGCGUUAAGUCGACCGCCUGGGGAGUACGGCCGCAAGGUUAAAACUCAAAUGAAUUGACGGGGGCCCGCACAAGCGGUGGAGCAUGUGGUUUAAUUCGAUGCAACGCGAAGAACCUUACCUGGUCUUGACAUCCAGAGAAUCCUGCAGAGAUGCGGGAGUGCCUUCGGGAACUCUGAGACAGGUGCUGCAUGGCUGUCGUCAGCUCGUGUUGUGAAAUGUUGGGUUAAGUCCCGCAACGAGCGCAACCCUUAUC
rnacentral:rRNA from 1 species